rnacentral:tRNA from 1 species
GCGGGGGUGGCAGAGCUUGGUCAAAUGCGCCAGCUUGAGGGGCUGGUUCCUUAGUGGAUGCGAGGGUUCAAAUCCCUUCCCCCGCA